rnacentral:rRNA from 1 species
CGCGUAGGCGGAUCGGCAAGUUGGAUGUGAAAACCAGCGGCUUAACCACUGGCCUGCAUCCGAAACUGCUGAUCUUGAGUACGGGAGAGGGAAGUGGAAUUCCAGGUGUAGCGGUGACAUGCGUAGAUAUCUGGAAGAACACCGGUGGCGAAGGCGGCUUCCUGGACCGAUACUGACGCUGAGGCGCGAAAGCUAGGGGAGCAAACA